UAACCGUUGUUUUGUCAUGGU
rnacentral:piRNA from 1 species